rnacentral:rRNA from 1 species
AUUGAACGCUGGCGGCAGGCUUAACACAUGCAAGUCGAGCGGUAACAGGAGAAGCUUGCUUCUCGCUGACGAGCGGCGGACGGGUGAGUAAUACUUAGGAAUCUACCUAGUAGUGGGGGAUAGCUCGGAGAAACUCGAAUUAAUACCGCAUACGACCUACGGGAGAAAGGGGGCAACUUGUUGCUCUCGCUAUUAGAUGAGCCUAAGUCGGAUUAGCUAGAUGGUGGGGUAAAGGCCUACCAUGGCGACGAUCUGUAUCUGGUCUGAGAGGAUGAUCAGCGACACCGGGACUGGGACACGGCCCGGACUCCUACGGGAGGCAGCAGUGGGGAAUAUUGGAAAAUGGGGGCAACCCUGAUUCAGCCAUGCCGCGUGUGUGAAGAAGGCCUUUUGGUUGUAAAGCACUUUAAGCAGUGAAGAAGACUCUAGGGUUAAUACCCUUAGACGAUGACAUUAGCUGCAGAAUAAGCACCGGCUAACUCUGUGCCAGCCGCCGCCGUAA